UACGAAGGGGGCUAGCGUUGCUCGGAAUCACUGGGCGUAAAGCGCACGUAGGCGGCUUUCUAAGUCAGGGGUGAAAUCCUGGAGCUCAACUCCAGAACUGCCUUUGAUACUGGCGAUCUUGAGUCCGGGAGAGGUGAGUGGAACUGCGAGUGUAGAGGUGAAAUUCGUAGAUAUUCGCAAGAACACCAGUGGCGAAGGCGGCUCACUGGCCCGAUACUGACGCUGAGGCACGAAAGCGUGGGGAGCAAACAGG
rnacentral:rRNA from 1 species